AUUUUCAACGAUGGAUGUCUAGGUUCCCACAACGAUGAAGAACGCAGCGAAAAUGCGAUAUGCAGUGUGAAUUGCAGAACCACGAAUCAUCGGAUCUUUGAACGCAACUAGCGCUGGUACAACCAGCAUGUUUGGUUCAGUGUGCGCAACCAAUAACUCAGCUAAAUGUGGGAGAAGUUCUUCCAUCAAGCUCUGCUCAACGGCAGUAGUCACAUUAUGUGAACUUCCGUAGGCUUAAUGACUUAUUUGCACCUGAACUCAAGCAAGACGACCCGCUGGACUUAAGCAUAUUAUUAAGCGGAGGAAAAGAAAUUAACAAAGAUUCCCUUAGUAAGGGCGACUGAACAGGUAAUAGCCCAACAUUAAAAUCUCUGUUUGAACGAACAGCGAAUUGUAAUCUAUAGACGCACAUUUGGAGGAGUCCUGAUCGCAUAAGUCCCAUGGAACGGGGCAACAAAGAGGGUGAAAUUCCCGUAUUUGGCGAAAGGGAUGAGUCAACAAAGUGCGUCAUCGAGUCGAGCUUCUUGGGAUUGAAGCUCAAAUAGGGAGAUAAACUUCUUCCAAGGCUAAAUAUGAAUGGGAAACCGAUAGCAAACAAGUACCGUGAGGGAAAGAUGAAAAGAACUUUGAAAAAAGAGUUAAAAGACUUGAAACCGUUGAGAAGGAAGCGAUAGAAGUUGGGUAAUCAUAUAGCAAAAGGUCUCCUGGUCUGGUUACUGUGGUCUUGCGACGCAGUGGCUGGACAACAGGGAGAUACUUGGUUAUGUGAAAGACAAGAUGAGUUUUGGUAACAAGUAUAUAAUAAAUGUUACGCAAGACUGAGGAUUGAUUUUGUCAAAACGACUUUUACCGACCCGUCUUGAAACACGGACCAAGGAGUUUUACUACAGUGCAAGUCUACAAGUGGAAAACUUAUAGGCGGAUUGAAAGAGAAUUUAGGGUACCAAGGAGCAAUCCGGCAGUAUCGACCUUCAACUGGUUUCUAUCAGUUGCAUGAGUAAGAGCAUUGUGGUUAAGACCCGAAAGAUGGUGAACUAUACUUGAGUAGAGUGAAGUCAAUGGAAACUCUGAUGGAAGCUCAAAGCGGUACUGACGUGCAAAUCGUUCGUGUAACUUGAGUAUAGGGGCGAAAAACCAAUCGAACCAUCUACUAGCUGGUUCCUUCUGAAGUUUCUCUCAGGAUAGCUGAAACGAUUAUACAGUUUUAUCAGGUAAAGCUAAUGAUUAGUGGAUUGGGGGAAUAAAAUUCCUCCACCAAUUCUCAAACUUUAAAUUGGUAAGAGGCUUGAGUUUGCUUAAAUGAACUCGAGCAUGGAAUGUACGUUUUUAGUGGGCCAUUUUUGGUAAGCAGAACUGGCGAUGAGGGAUGCUCCUAAAGCUGAGUUAAGGUGCCCAAGUUACAAUCAUCAGAUACCAUAAAAGGAGUUGGUUUGUUUAGACAGCAGGAUGGUGGCCCUGAGAGCAGGCAUCCAUUAAAAAGUGCUUUCCGCUUACCUGCCGAACGAAUCAGCCCUGAAAAUGGAUGGCGCUAUAUUGUAACACCGAGACUCGGCCAUUGUCGCUAAUCUAUGCGUCAAUGUGUAAGAAGGCGUGUGGCUAGUGUAGAAGCUAAGGUGUGAACCUAAGUGGAACUGGUCAUAGUGCAGAUCUUGGUGGUAGUAGCAACUAUUCAAAUGAGAACUUUGAAGGCCGAAGUGGAGAAGGGUUCCAUGUGAACAGCAAUUGAUCAUGGGUUACUCGAUCCUAAGACACAGCGGAAACGCCUUGAAAGAAGAGUUAAUCUUCGAGUCAAAAGGGAAUGAGGUUAAUAUUCCUCAAGCUAGCCGUGUAGUAGUAUGGUAACAUAUACAAUCUCGGAGACGCCAGUAUGUACCUCCGGAAGAGUUUUCUUUUCUUCUUAACCAGCUCAAGCCACGGAAUUGAUUUAAUCAGAGAGGUGGCCCAAUGCUGGGUAGAGCAGAGCCCUAGGCUUUGUCGGAUGCGUUCAUAAUGGCCCUUGAAAAUCCGGGUGAGAGACUUAAAUACACGCUAGGUCGUACCAACAACCGCAUCAGGUCUCCAAGGUUAGCAGCCUCUGGUCAACUAGAAGAAUGUAGAUAAGGGAAUUCGGCAAAUUAGAUUCGUAACUUCGGAAGAUGGAUUGGCUCUGAGGACAGUGCAGCCCGGUGACUAUGGAAGUCUUUAUUGAAAUCGUCGACUCGAGUACUCGUAUUCGGUUGAUGAUGGAUUUAGAGAAGUCUGUGGAAGCCACUGCAAUUAACUGUUAACUCAGAACUGAAGCGAACAAAUGGAAUCUAACUGUUUAAUAAAAACAUAGCUUUAUGAUGGCCUGAAAAGGUGUUGACAUAAAGUGAUUUCUGCCCAGUGCUCUGAACGUUAAAGUGAAGAAAUUCAACUAUGCGCGGGUAAACGGCGGGAGUACCCUGACUCUCUUAAGGUAGCGAAAUACCUCGUUAAGUAAUUUUUGACGUGCAUGAAAGGAUUAAUGAGAUUCCAACUGUCCCUAUCUACCAUCUAGCGAAACCACAGCUAAGGGAACGGGCUUAGCAAACUCAUUGGAUAAAGAAGACCCUUUCGCGCUUGACUCUAGUCUGACUUUGUGACAUGACAUAUGAGGUGUAGUCUAGGUGGGAGGGGCAACCCGA
rnacentral:rRNA from 1 species